GUGGGGAAUCUUCCGCAAUGGACGAAAGUCUGACGGAGCAACGCCGCGUGAGUGAAGAAGGUUUUCGGAUCGUAAAGCUCUUUCGUUAGGGACGAACGUGCUCUUUGUGAAUAAUGAGGAGUAAUGACGGUACCUAAAUAAGAAGCCACGGCUAACUACGUGCCAGCAGCCGCGGUAAUACGUAGGUGGCAAGCGUUGUCCGGAAUUAUUGGGCGUAAAGCGCGCGCAGGCGGGAUAUCAAGUCUGUCUUAAAAGUGCGAGGCUCAACCUCGUGAGGGGACGGAAACUGGUAUUCUUGAGUGUCGGAGAGGAAAGCGGAAUUCCUAGUGUAGCGGUGAAAUGCGUAGAUAUUAGGAGGAACACCAGUGGCGAAAGCGGCUUUCUGGACGACAACUGACGCUGAGGCGCGAAAGCCAGGGGAGCAAACGGGAUUAGAAACCCUUGUAGUCC
rnacentral:rRNA from 1 species